rnacentral:rRNA from 1 species
GAUGAACGCUGGCGGCGUGCCUAAUACAUGCAAGUCGAGCGAACAGACGAGGAGCUUGCUCCUCUGACGUUAGCGGCGGACGGGUGAGUAACACGUGGAUAACCUACCUAUAAGACUGGGAUAACUUCGGGAAACCGGAGCUAAUACCGGAUAAUAUAUUGAACCGCAUGGUUCAAUAGUGAAAGACGGUUUUGCUUUCACUUAUAGAUGGAUCCGCGCCGCAUUAGCUAGUUGGUAAGGUAACGGCUUACCAAGGCAACGAUGCGUAGCCGACCUGAGAGGGGGGUCGGCCACCCUGGAAGUGGGACAGCGUCCCGGCGCCUGAGGGAAGGCACAGUAGGGAAUCUUACGCAAUGGGCGAGAGCUUGACGGAGCAACGCCGCGUGAGUGAUGAAGGUCUUCGGAUCGUAAAACUCUGUUAUUAGGGAAGAACAAAUGUGUAAGUAACUAUGCACGUCUUGACGGUACCUAAUCAGAAAGCCACGGCUAACUACGUG